rnacentral:rRNA from 1 species
AACGAACGCUGGCGGCAGGCUUAACACAUGCAAGUCGAGCGCCCCGCAAGGGGAGCGGCAGACGGGUGAGUAACACGUGGGAACGUGCCCAAAGGUACGGAACAACUCCGGGAAACUGGAGCUAAUACCGUAUGUGCCCGCGAGGGGAAAGAUUUAUCGCCUUUGGAUCGGCCCGCGUCUGAUUAGCUAGUUGGCGGUGUAAUGGACCACCAAGGCGACGAUCAGUAGCUGGUCUGAGAGGAUGACCAGCCACACUGGGACUGAGACACGGCCCAGACUCCUACGGGAGGCAGCAGUGGGGAAUAUUGGACAAUGGGCGCAAGCCUGAUCCAGCCAUGCCGCGUGAGUGAUGAAGGCCUUAGGUUUGUAAAGCUCUUUCGCCGAGGACGAUAAUGACGGUACUCGGAUAAGAAGCCCCGGCUAACUUCGUGCCAGCAGCCGCCGUAA